AGGAGCAUUUAGUAUAGUAGGACGGUGGCCGUGGAAGUCGGUACCCGCUAAGGAGUGUGUAACAACUCACCUACCGAAUUAACUAGCCCUGAAAA
rnacentral:ncRNA from 1 species